rnacentral:lncRNA from 1 species
AUUCCUAUGAUGAACCAGUGCCUAGCUGCCACGAAAUAGGAUAAGAUACGGUUUUAAUUAUUUCUAUAUCUUGAUUCGUUCAAGUGGAGUAUAGCAGAAUACUCUUUAUGGAAAUCACCUAUGUGAGUGAGAAGGGGUUGCUUCUAAGAAAAUUAGGUGAAGAUAAAUUAUCUAAAAACUACUCAUGAACCAGGAGGUGUCCAAGGCCAAAAUGGACACAAACAUGAGAACCAACUGUGUUCGAAGAUAACUGUGUUACUUCUAUUGUUUAGAUUUCCAUGAACGGCUGACUGUUCAAAGCAACUUGCUACUGAUUGGCUAAGGAAAUUCGAAAGAUUUUACUAGGGAAAGUUCAAAGUCAUUGACUACUUAUUCCGAUGCAGUUUUCUUCAAUUUUUAUUUUGAAAAACAUAUUAGAUGUUACUGUUUGGAAAAGACCAACAUAUUUCAUUUAUGUGGGGGAUUGUUGAAAAAAUGGUUAUGAAAUGGAUCAAAUUUGAGCCCAAAUUUCAGUAGGACCCACCUUUUAAUUAAUACAGGACCAAGCAUAUUCACCUUCUACUCCGCGAGAUGAUUAACGUGAUAUAUUUAUUUAUGGAAAACCAUUUAGAAUUGAAUGAAAUAUUAAGUGUUAAAGUAACCCACAUAAAAUUAAGUAUUAUGGAAGAAUUUGAUUUUCCAAACACUUAUCCCACAUAGGAAAGUUAGGAAACUUUGGUGUGGUUUAUAAGGUGGAAGUUUGGAAAUUGGGUUUGGGCCCCAAGGGGUACCAAUAGUCU